rnacentral:rRNA from 1 species
UACGUAGGGCGCAAGCGUUGUCCGGAAUUAUUGGGCGUAAAGAGCUCGUAGGCGGCCUGUUGCGUCCGCUGUGAAAUCCCGGGGCUCAACCCCGGGCGUGCAGUGGAUACGGGCUGGCUGGAGGCAGGCAGGGGAGAACGGAAUUCCUGGUGUAGCGGUGAAAUGCGUAGAUAUCGUAAGGAAGACCAGUGGCGAAGGCGGAUCUCUGGACAGCUACUGACACUGAGGCACGAAGGCCAGGGGAGCAAACGGG